GCUUGUCUCAAAGAUUAAGCCAUGCAUGUCUUAGUGUAAAUAACUCUUAUGAAACUGCGAAUGGCUCAUUAAAUCAGUUAUCAAAUACGUGAUGGUCGCCUACUACAUGGAUAACCGUAGUAAUUCUAGAGCUAAUACAUGCACAAAGGCCCAUUCACGUGGGUUGUGAUUAUUAGAUUCAAACCGGCCUCGUUCUGGUGAUUCAUAAUAACUGAUCGAAUCUCAAAUUUGAGAUAAAUCAUUCAAGUUUCUGCCCUAUCAGCUUUCGAUGGUAGUGUAUUGGACUACCAUGGCAGUAACGGGUAACGAAGAAUUAGGGUUCGAUUUCGGAGAGGGAGCAUGAGAAACGGCUACCACAUCUAAGGAAGGCAGCAGG
rnacentral:rRNA from 1 species